UACGUAGGGGGCAAGCGUUGUCCGGAAUCAUUGGGCGUAAAGAGCGCGUAGGCGGCCCGAUAAGUCCGCCGUGAAAGUCCAGGGCUCAACCCUGGGAUGCCGGUGGAAACUGUCGGGCUAGAGUCCGGAAGAGGCGAGUGGAAUUCCUGGUGUAGCGGUGAAAUGCGCAGAUAUCAGGAGGAACACCAAUGGCGAAGGCAGCUCGCUGGGACGGUACUGACGCUGAGACGCGAAAGCGUGGGGAGCAAAUAGG
rnacentral:rRNA from 1 species